UACGUAGGGUGCGAGCGUUAAUCGGAAUUACUGGGCGUAAAGCGUGCGCAGGCGGUUCGUUGUGUCGGCGGUGAAAGCCCCGGGCUCAACCUGGGAAUGGCGAUGGAUACUGGCGGGCUAGAGUGCGGUAGAGGAGAGUGGAAUUCCCGGUGUAGCAGUGAAAUGCGUAGAGAUCGGGAGGAACAUCAGUUGCGAAGGCGGCUCUCUGGACCAGCACUGACACUGAGGCACGAAAGCGUGGGGAGCAAACAGG
rnacentral:rRNA from 1 species